rnacentral:snoRNA from 1 species
UGUUGAUGAUGUAGACAGUCCUGAAGAAAAUCUAUGAACCUCUCCCAUGCAUAAUAUAAGUUCUCAUCUGGCUUCUGUUUGAAGCACACAAUCUCACAUUGUAGUCU